AUAAGUUACCAUGGGCGUCCGGUGGAUGCCUUGGCACAGAGAGACGAAGAAGGACGCGGCUACCUGCGAUAAGCCGGGGCGAGGCGGAUGCAGCCAUCGACCCUCGGAUUUCCGAAUGGGGGAACCCGGUAGGAGUAAAUCCCUACCAUUCUUCCCGCAAGGGGAGAAAGAAAACCCAGGGAACUGAAACAUCUAAGUACCUGGAGGAAAAGAAAGCGAAUGCGAUUCCGUCAGUAGUGGCGAGCGAAAGCGGAACAGCCCAAACCAUAGUAAUAUGGGGUUAGGACCAGCAUGUGAUCAUUAGCUUAAGGAGUCAGAACUUCUUGGAAAAGAAGACCGAAGAGGGCGAACGUCCCGUAUGACUAUAAUAGCUAGAUCGCUGGCACCAGAGUAGGUCGGGGCACGUGAAAUCCUGACUGAAGAUGCGGGGACCAUCCCGUAAGGCUAAAUACUCCUCUGUGACCGAUAGCGAACAAGUACUGUGAAGGAAAGGUGAAAAGUACCCCGAGAGGGGGAUGAAAUAGAACCUGAAACCGGAUGCCUGCAAGAAGACAAAGGACGUCAACGUCUGAUGUCGUGCCUAUUGAAGAAUGAGCCUGCGAGUUGCGUUUGCACGCAAGGAUAAGUAGAAGAUACGGACCCGUAGCGAAAGCGAGCCUUAAUAGGGCGUUAGUGUGCAGAUGCAGACCCGAAACCCGGCGAUCUAGCCAUGGUCAGGAUGAAGCAGGGGUGAAACCCUGUGGAGGUCCGAACGGACUUUCGUUGAAACGACAGCCGAUGAACUGUGGCUCGUGGUGAAAUUCCAAUCGAGCUGGGUUAUAGCUGGUUCUCCCCGAAACAUCUUUAGGGAUGGCCUCGGGCGGCAAGGAUGGAGGUAGAGCUCUGGACUGGUGAAUGUCGCGUGAAGCGGCGUGAGUUAGACCAAACUGCGAAUUCCAUCCCCUUCGCGUCCGGGAGUCAGGCUGUGGGAGAUAAGUUCCAUGGCCAAGAGGGAAAGAGCCCACGACCACCAGUUAAGGCCCUUAAGUGUAUGCUAAGUGUAGAAGGAUGUGGAGAGUCAUAGACAGCUAGGAUGUUGGCUCAGAGGCAGCCACCAUUUAAAGAAUGCGUAACAGCUCACUAGUCAAGUCUCUCUGCGCCGAAAAUUUACCGGGGCUAAGCAUACCGCCGAAUCUGUGGACCUAAGACAUGAGUCUUAGAGUGGUAGGGGAGCGUUCUAUAUGCGCUGAAGCAUCAUCGUGAGAGGGUGUGGAGCGUAUAGAAGUGAGAAUGCAGGCGUGAGUAACGAUAAAGGGUGAGAAUCCCUUUCGCCGAUUGACUAAGGUUUCCAGGGCAAGGUUCGUCCGCCCUGGGUUAGCCGGGACCUAAGACGUACCCGAAUGGGGAAGCCGAUGGACAGGAGGUUAAUAUUCCUGCGCCCGGACGGAAGCGAUUGCGGGGACGGAGAUAGGUGAUAUAGCCAGGCUGCUGGAAUAGCCUGGGAAGGUGAGGUACCUGAUAAGCGUAAGAACGUUUGUCAUAAGGGGAAGACACAUUCAGAGGAACGUAGCAAUACAAGUACGAAUCUAUAUGGACCCAACUCCCGAGAAAAGCCGCUAGCUUAAUUCCGUUUCGGCCCGUACCGAGAACGAACACACGUAGUCAAGGAGAGUAUCCUAAGGCGAGCGAGCGAACUGUUGCUAAGGAACUCUGCAAAAUUGCCUCGUAAGUUAGCAAGAAGAGGCGCUCUUCGCAAGGAGAGCCGCAGCAAACUGGCCCAAGUAACUGUUUAUCAAAAACACAGCUCUAUGCUAAGGCGUAAGCCGAUGUAUAUGGGGUGAUGCCUGCCCGGUGCUGGAAGGUCAAGGGGAGAAGUUAGUCGCAAGAUGAAGCUUUGAGCCGAAGCCCCAGUGAACGGCGGCCGUAACUAUAACGGUCCUAAGGUAGCGAAAUUCCUUGUCAGGUAAGUUCUGACGUGCAUGAAUGGUAUAAUAAUUUGGGCGCUGUCUCGGCAGCAGACUCGGUGAAAUCUUAGUACCUGUGAAGAUGCAGGUUACCCGCGACUAGACGGAAAGACCCCAUGG
rnacentral:rRNA from 1 species